rnacentral:rRNA from 2 species
UCGGAAUGACUUAAAGCGGAUUAGUGGCGAACGGGUGAGUAACACGUGAGUAACCUGCCUUACACAAGGGGAUAGCCGUUGGAAACGACGAAUAAUACCCUAUGAAACCAUAUAAAGCGCAUGCAGUUGUGGUCAAAGUGUUUAGCGGUGUAAGAUGGACUUGCGUCUGAUUAGCUAGUUGGUGAGAUAACAGCUCACCAAGGCAACGAUCAGUAGCCGGCUUGAGAGAGUGUACGGCCACAUUGGGACUGAGACACGGCCCAGACUCCUACGGGAGGCAGCAGUGGGGAAUUUUGCACAAUGGGGGCAACCCUGAUGCAGCAGACGCCGCGUGAUUUAGAAGGCCUUCGGGUUGUAAAAAUCUUUUGUAUAGGAAGAAACUGACAGUACUAUACGAAUAAGGUCCGGCUAAUUACGUGCCAGCAGCCGCGGUAAUACGUAAGGACCGAGCGUUGUCCGGAAUCAUUGGGCGUAAAGGGUACGUAGGCGGGCGCUUAAGUUAGAAGUGAAAGGCUAUAGCUCAACUAUAGUAAGCUUCUAAAACUGGGCGUCUUGAGAGAUGGAAGGGAAAGUGGAAUUCCUAGUGUAGCGGUGGAAUGCGCAGAUAUUAGGAGGAAUACCGGUGGCGAAGGCGACUUUCUGGCCAUUUUCUGACGCUGAGGUACGAAAG